AGUGAACGCUGGCGGCAUGCCUAAUACAUGCAAGUCGAACGGAAGCACAGUAAGAUCUUGUCCUUACGGUUGGCGGGUGACGGAUGGGUAAGGCAUACAUCACAAACUACUUUUUCGUGGGGGACUACGGAGGGACACUUAUGCUAAUAGCGCAUACUAUGUACCGGUUGAAUCAAAGGAUCUUCGCAGUUUUCCUGUCACUAUUAGCCGGUGUCGGAUUAGCUAGUUGGCGUGGUAAAGGCACACCAAGGCGACGAUCCGUAGCAGAGCUGAGAGGAUGAUCAGCCACACUGGAACUGAGACACGGUCCAGACUCCUACGGGAGGCAGCAGUGGGGAAUAUUGGACAAUGGGCGAAAGCCUGAUCCAGCAAUACCGCGUGAGUGAAGAAGGCCUUCGGAUUGUAAAGCCCUUUUGUUGGGAAAGAACAGCUGCAUGUUAAUACCCGGAUGUUCUGACGGUACCCAAAGAAUAAGCACCGGCUAACUUCGUG
rnacentral:rRNA from 1 species